AUGCUCAGCUGGUGGGGAGAUGUCAUCAUCAUGAGGUGGCUUUGCCAUGAUGAGUCUUAUGCAUUGCACCCCAAUGUGCUGACUCCCAUGAUUUUCUCAAAUUCAGCAAACCUGAAUGCUUCCUUUGUGCUAGUGGGGACUGUGUUAUUACUCUUCCCUG
ensembl:snRNA U1 U1 spliceosomal RNA